GGUCCGCUGGCUCAAUGGCAGAGCGUCUGACUACGGUCCAAUCAGGAGGUUCCAGGUUCGACCCCUGGGUGGAUCG